rnacentral:rRNA from 1 species
GAUGAACGCUAGCGGCAGGCCUAAUACAUGCAAGUCGAACGGUGUCUUCGGACAUAGUGGCGCACGGGUGCGUAACACGUAUGCAACCUACCUUACAUUGGGGGAUAGCCUUUCGAAAGGGAGAUUAAUACCGCAUAAGACAGUAGCUGGGCAUCCAGCAGCUGUUAAAGAUUUAUCGAUGUAAGCUGGGCAUGCGUCCAAUUAGCUAGUUGGUGAGGUAACGGCUCACCAAGGCAAUGAUUGGUAGGGGAACUGAGAGGUCAAUCCCCCACACUGGCACUGAGAUACGGGCCAGACUCCUACGGGAGGCAGCAGUAGGGAAUAUUGGGCAAUGGACGCAAGUCUGACCCAACCAUGCCGCGUGCAGGAUGAAGGCGUUAUGCGUUGUAAACUGCUUUUAUACAGGAAGAAACGACUCUUGCGAGAGGCAUUGACGGUACUGUAUGAAUAAGCACCGGCUAACUACGUGCCAGCAGCCGCCGUAAAAU